AGAGUUUGAUCCUGGCUCAGGACGAACGCUGGCGGCGCGCCUAAUGCAUGCAAGUUGAACGAGCUGGCCCCGACUUGUCGGGGUUGGAGAGUGGCGAACGGCUGAGUAACACGUAAGUGACCUGCCCUGAAGAGAGGGAUAACCCCGAGAAAUCGGGACUAAUACCCCGUAAGCUCCAUGGGUUGUGGCCCAUGGAGGAAAGGCUUCCGAUUCGUCGGAGGCUGCUUUAGGAGGGGCUUGCGGCCUAUCAGGUAGUUGGUGGGGUAAAGGCCUACCAAGCCGAAGACGGGUAGCCGAUGUGAGAGCAUGAACGGUCAGAGGGGGACUGAGACACGGCCCCCACUUCUACGGAAGGCAGCAGCAGGGAAUCUUGCGCAAUGGGCUAAUAUAAGCCUGACGCAGCGACGCCGCGUGGGGGAUGAAGGCUUUCGGGUUGUAAACCCCUUUUCUCGGGGAAGAGUAAGGACGGUACCCGAGGAAUAAGCCUCGGCUAACUACGUGCCAGCAGCCGCGGUAAUACGUAGGAGGCGAGCGUUGUCCGGAUUUACUGGGCGUAAAGGGCGCGUAGGCGGCUUGGUGUGUCUUGUGUGAAAUCUCCCGGCUCAACUGGGAAGGGUCAUGAGAAACUGCCCAGCUCGAGGGCAGCCGG
rnacentral:rRNA from 1 species